rnacentral:lncRNA from 1 species
CUAAUACCAUUGUUAGUUACGGCUUUGUCAUUGUUAAUGAUGUCCAUGAGCCAAUCGGGCUCUACCCCUAAUCAGAAACGACGCCCCUCUGAACGGGCUACUUUAGUUGCCACGACAUGUGCCACACCAUUCACUUUCCGUUGUGAGAAAAUAAGUUGUUGCAAACCAAUAGCCCCCAUAAACUCUCUUACUCUCUCUAGUCUCUACCAACAGUGCAACACACCAUCAUGCACAAAACUAUACCCCUCCUCACUACCAUUAACCAACCUAGCUGCCUCCAAACUAUCAAUUUCAGCAACAGAGAUUGACCAUCAUCUCUCAAGAACAACCUCCAAACCAAGAAUAAUAGCUUGGAGUUCAGCUGCAGGAGGAGUAAGUCUCCCCAAGCUGGGUUCUCCUGCCGCUAGUCUCAGUCCACCUGUGCAGUUUUGUAUCACCACACCCAGUCAAACUCUUUCCUCCAUUAUUUAUCACAGAAGCAUCAGAAUUUAAUUUCCAAUUACCUGGACUAGGUGGCUGCCACCGAGAACAAAUAGUAGACACAUAAGGUGUCACACCCUAGACCCGGUGUCGGUGGUUUCCAAGCACCUGACGCCGAACCUGAGGCGUGAGCGGGAAAAAUAAAAGAAAAUAAAACAAUUUCAAAUACUUUUCCAGAAAUUGUAAAAAUAAAAGAAAAUAAAACGUUUACCAUAACAAAAUAAUUACAAAGACAAAAUGAUGAGCCCUUGCGAUCUAUCUCACUUCUAAUCUUCCAUAACUCUUUUCUACUCUUGCACACGUCUCCUAAACUUCACAGUUAGAUUUCUCAAAAUACGUUCCUUGUACGUACCUGAACAAAAGUCUAUAGGGGUGAGCUUACGCUCAGUAGGGCCAAACCUUUUUAGGUCAUACUUGAUUAUGUCAAACAAACAAGUUAUCAAACAACAAAUAAUACUUUAAAUAAAUAACAACAAUGAUUGAUGCAUAAAUGCAAAUGCACUCCCUCCACUCUAUUACUGGCUAAUUAGUCCAUACACUCAAGACAUAUGUACCUACACGUUCCAUACCGUGUAGAUGUCUCGAAUAUACGACCUAACAAAUCAGUAAUAUAUAAACUCCAGUACCUCUUUUGUUAGUCUUCUGUUAACCUCAUGGUCCCCAGUCCCGAAACCCGAAAGAUCAUUUUAUCGACUCAUACGUCGAAAGGGCAUACUUUCCCUACUCAUUUGCGCAGGUGGGCUGAUCAUAGCUAUUGGAAGCCCCCAUGAGGAAACUCAACUAUACAAAAUGUAUACAUUCUAAUAAUCUCAUUCACACCUCUCCAUAAUCAUCAAUCUCAUUAUCCUCACGAUUCCUCACAAUGCAUUAUGUAUGCAAUUAAAUAUCGAUGCGCGUAAUAUAAUCUCAAACAACAUGCUUUUAUAGAAAACAAUAACAUCGAUCGCAUAAGUCAACGAUAUCAAUAAUAUUGAAAACAAUAACAAUCAAGAAUUAAUCAAUCAAUGUCACACAAAUCACUCAUUUCAAUUAUAAACUAAUUAUCGUUUUAAAGAAAGGUUCCCCGACAGAGACCCUACCUGAAAUCCGAGUGUUAGUUCUGACGCCAGCUAAAAUUAGUAACGUUACGACACGCAUUCUGAAAUCUUUAUCCUUCUACUUCUGGAACCUGCUACUUGCAUUCGAUCCUCAUAUCGCCUUGUUCCAAGGAAGUCGGCAAACACUUUUAUUAGAAACGAUCAAGUCCUUGAAAUUGAUAAGGACACCCAAAUCCUUAUUUCCAAUUCCUCUCACAUUUUUGAUAACUUCCGAAUCAUAUACCAUAUGUAUUCAUUCACAUUAUCCCCACCUUUUAAAUCUACAUUUGUAGUUAACUUUGUCGGCGUAUCCCAACUAUGCUCCAAACACCCAUCCAAACUCCUCCAGAAUUACUCUGGACACCCAAAAUACCAUACACCCAUAAUGUGUCCUUCCUUCCAAGCCUUGUCUUGAACACCUUCCAAUUACCAUGCAUCCUCAUACCAUUAUUCUGCCAACAAUGCUCAAUCAUACCAUUGCUUCCACUUUUCCGGAUGCACAUGCUUUAUUUGCCAUAACAUAUACCAUCUAGCUCCAUUGCUUGCCACAAUCCAUAUUAAGACAAACUAUGAAACUUAAUCUUCACAGUAUUAAUAUUCGCACUUCAACUUCCAUUAACAGAAAAGCCCAGAACCUACAAUUAUAUAUGCUUUGGCUCCUAACAUCGUAAUCGACCAUACUACGUAAUUCUUCAGCAAGACUUAACCAUCUAAUUACCCAAUUCUUCCAGCUUCUUGGAAAUAAGUAUAUACACAACUAACAUCUUUUCUGCAGCUUCAUUUAUGUCAGAACUUAAACAGACAAUACCAAAACUUCCACUGCAAUCACCGAGCACACAGCUCAUCAUCCCUCUCCAUCACCCAGCUUCUCCAUUUCUGCAAAUUCCAACCCCUUCAAUUCUCAAUCAAAACUGCAUCUCAACUACACAUAUAACAUGAAAUCCGAAACCAGAUAUGAAUCAAACACCUUCACCACCGUCGUGCACGGCGGCAAGUACGGCAGUCACCCAUUGCCAAAAAUCCAACUUCCUCCAAACUCAACAAAACUCAGUUUCAAUUAUAUAAACAGGUAGAGCUCAACAAGAAGAUCAAGUUCCAUACCUCACUUGCCUUCGCCGGUGGCCGGAAGGCUUCGAACCCUUGCCGGAAAAUCCCAAACCUUCUUCUCUUCGAUUCUCCCUCACCUGACCUCAUCUCGACAAGCUGAAGUUACAGGGACGUCGUGGAUGAGGAGAAAAAGCUAUCCACACCGGUGAGAGACCACGACUUGGCCGGAAUCGGAAACUCACCGGCGAACCGAGUCUCUCCUUCUUCACUUCGAAUCUCUCUCUCCCGACCUCUUCUGAAGAAACUGAGGACAUAGAGAAGACCACGAGGACGAGAGGCAGCUUACAGUACCAUUCACGCUCGCCGCCGUCGCCCGAAUCGGAAACCCGAUUGGAAAAACAGCCACCUUCCCUCCUUCUUUUCUCUCUCACCAAAGCUUCCCAUGGAGGAACAACAUCACAGUCAUGUUGGGAACGACGAGACGGAGCUUUUGACACCGGUCUUGCGCCGGGAGACGGCCGGACGACGGAGGAAGGAGCUGAGCUCCGUCGCUGCAGAGCAGCUCGAGACCGAGUCGGUCUGGGCUCAAACUGAUCGAGUCCAAACUGAUCCACUGUAUGUAUAUACUCAAAUCGACGAUCCGGAAUAAACGGUUUAGAAGAUCGAACGGUCUAGAUCAAGCCACACUUUAAUUUCUAUUUUCAAUUAAUUUUUAGAUAAUACCAACUUCCAAAAAUCAUUAAAAAUAACUCCGAUGUUCAAACGGUACUCCGAAUACGAACUUGUAACGACCUAUAUCUUAAUCCUAUGGACUAAAAAGACAAAAUUUGACGAACUAAAAAUUUGAAAGCUACAAAGAAUUUGAAAUA